rnacentral:lncRNA from 1 species
ACAAUUGAUAUUAACAAUUGAUAUUAACAAUUGAUAUUAACAAUUGAUAUUAACAAUUGAUAUUAACAAUUGAUAUUAACAAUUGAUAUUAACAAUUGAUAUUAACAAUUGAUAUUAACAAUAAAUUUGAAGGAGCUCCCCUCUACUAACACACAUCACCAUUUUUCAGUGAGUAUUAACUAGCAGGUAGCUCAAAACAACGGAGGAAGCACACAUGAAAACCAGAAGCCAAGUCAGUCUGGUUUUGUUACUUCUCUAUCAUAGUACCUUGCAGCAUUUUGCUUCCAGUGAUUCUGGCUUAUGAAAUGAACAUUACUUAAUUACGAUUGCUUAGUAUGCUUUAUAUUUCAAGUGUCUCAGGAUAAGUCUGCAAGUGCCCCUGAAGCCAUUCCUACCUGCCCAAGGUUCCUCCAGCCUGUGUGUAAUAUUUGUUAUAAUCCAGACGUAGCAGCAGUUGAGCUAAGUCAGAGUUUAUUUGAUGGUUUCGAACACUGGAGAGAAUCUUGAAGAGCAGCGAUGACUGACGACUGAACCCCUACAAAUUACAGGGAACCUGUUCAGGAAAGCCUUUUUAAUCAUGGAGCAGCCUGGACAAAAGUAUCACUGCAAAAGAUUUUUGCUUGUGGUCUACUAUGAGGUGACCUGUCAGCCAAAAGAAGUAGGUGCUAGGUAGCCAAAAGGAGAGGUAAAACCAGACUAUCUACUGCCUUUGUAUUUCAAGAGGGUUGUAAUUUCUGUACAUCUGUGCACAUACCUCACCUCUGUGCAUGUGGUGUUUUUCUACCCAGGACGUAUUGAUUAAUUUAAGUAACUGUAAGCAUUCACACAGAAGGUCUGAUCUCAGCUUAAAACAGCUGUAGAACAGGAGUGAAGUUAGAGCUUAGAUGUUUGCAAGGGAGAUGAACAAGACCAUAUCAAUAGAGAUUCACCUUCACCAGAAUACUGAGUUGUGCAGCUCCACGCUCAUCUAACGGUCCCAGAUUCUGACUCACCAGAGAACAAAAACUAUGACAAAUGUCCAGAAUUUCAUUUAAACAGUGGAAAACCUGUAUGGAAUAAUAAGUACAAGUUACCAAUUAUGUACAGAGCUCAGCCUCAAAGAAAGUUUGUGUUUUAGUACCUGAAAAUUAAAGCAUUUCUAAUCGAGAUAAUAUUAAUACUGUGUUUUUCAGUAGUCGCUAAGGAAGAUGUUAGAGCAGCUGUGGCAUUUCUAAGGCCUUUUUUCUUAAGGAGAAAACUGCACACUUCUACCUAUCCCCAAAACAACUUGUAGAAAAAAAUGUGAAAACAAGAUGUACUUACAGGUUUCAGGAGGAUGAAAGACUGAGCCAACAGAUUACUUAAGAAAUGAUCAUGAGCCAGUCGUAUACUCUCAAAAUCUCGUGUGGCAUUUAUUUGCUGGAGAAGCUGUGAGAACUGAGAUUCCAGUACAUCCACCUGAUGAACAUGCAAAGAAUAUUCAUUAACAGCUUCCUUGAGGAAUAGCUGACCUCAGACCAGCUAGAAGUUGUGUAACAAAUUUGCUUUCCCUAUCAGUACUCUUACAUUAGAGGCUGAGCAUCACCUUCUAUCUAUCUCAUUAAUAGAGCUCUAUAUACAACAGUAGUAUGGUAAUAAGGAAGAAAAGAAUUCAGGUCCCUGAAUAUUAACUAAGUAGACAGACAAAGAGUCACUUUCUAAGUGACUAAGAGUCACUAAAAAGUAUGACUUUUUGAGCAACCUAUUUGUUUCUGUACUAGUUUCCAUGACAAUGAAGAUCACAAUAACACUAUUUGAUAAAUCACAUUAUCAGCUACAAACCACUAUUUUUCAAUACAUUCACCACCAUUAGCUAUGCAUUUUCACCAGCAAUGAGCAAAAGCCUGCAUGACGUGCUCAUCAGGGCAAAGGCUGCAGAGCAAGAACUCAAGCCAUUACUCUAGAAAGCCAGAAAGUCAGGCUCCCUCGAUUCUACUGUUGUAGCUAUUAACAACUUGAUUCUUGCAAAAUUAUGCUGCUACUAACUAUUGUUUAGAUUUGAAAGUGAGAAAAUGGCUUCUUUCAAUUAAAAAAACAUCAUAACUUAAAAAAAAAAAAACACAGAAAACCACCCAAAAGAACUCACUGUCACUGAACAAAGCACAGCUCACUUCAUGGGACAAAGAAACAAGACAGGAUGGUAUCUUAAUGAUUCACCUUCAGGGAUAAGUGGGGCUUCUCAUGACUCCUUAGUAGCACUAGAGAGCCAGAAACAUUUGCAUUUCCAUUGAUACUUAAAAUUCUACUGAUUCACACAUCCAUUAACUGUACAAUUGUAGCACUGAAUCUGGGAACUUGAGAAAAAGUUAUAGUUUAAAACUUCAGUGCUCUCACCAUCAAUUUCUAUCAGUUCCUGAUUAAGCAAUACAAGUUCAAAUUUGUUUAAUCCUGACCUGGAGAUAAUACUGAAGAUUGUCCACAAGAAAAGCCAUGUGGUCCCUCAGGCGCCAUUUGAUGGCAUCAGUUCUGUUAGACUUCAGGUGUUUACGUUGCAUCUGGAGAGCCCAGCAGUGUUGUAGCUCCGCCUGGACCCGUCGCACGCUGAGCAGGUAUUUGAACACAACAUUGUACCUACAGUCAAAAAAUACCAAAGUUGUUUAGGACAGAAGUCUUUUCUGGGUACAGGUACUGGAGAACACAACAGUGCAAGACUGGAAAGAGAAAUGGUAGGUAGUUGCCUGCCAAUAGACAGGAUAGAUGAAGUAACAGCACAUCGCAGAGAUAUCUGAUUGCAUUGGUUAUUGAUCUAAAAAAUACAAAGUAAUUCUAACACUACUAGAAAAGAGGUGGCCAAGUUUUGACAGAUCUGUUUUGCUGACAGAUCUGCCAUGAUCUUAUCUGCAACAAGUAAUCCCAAUGUGACUAAGUAGAGUAAGGUUCAGGGAGCAAGCUAAAGCUCUACCUUUCUCUCUAUAAGGGGAAAAAAUACUGGGUGCCUGAGAUCAGGUAACUUCCAGACAAAGACAAUAUCUAGUACUUACUUCUCCAAAACAGCAGGAGUAAAGAGAAUAUGCAGUGGCCACUGAACUUUGUAAGAAAGGCCCAGAGCUGCCCAGCCAGAUGCAGGGGCUUCACGUGGAGAAAGCUCUCGGGAAGGCCCUUCACGAGUCUGAGAAGAAUCUGAAAACAGGUAAGGUGCUCGGUUAAUUCUUCCUCUCAGUCAAGGCAAAGCCUUCCAGAGAAGAAUGAAAAGGGGAAAGAACAGAACAAGAAGAGGAAAAGCAGGCUAGGGUAUCGCACAGGGCUGUUAAGGAAAAUGGUUUAGUAUUUCUUAACUCCACACAAGGGUAAUAGGAUUUGAAAACAAGGUCAUUGUCAUAAUCCCUCUUAACUCAUUACUAAAAAUGCAAAUAGAUACCUUUAUGCUCCUUUCCAUGAUACUCAAUGGUCAAGUGAAGCAAAGGAAGAAGGUUGUCAUCAUCUAACAGUACCUUAUGAGCAGACUGCUGAAAUGCAACAUUGACAUCUGACAGAGAGAGAACACAAAUAUUAACAGAAUACUCAAGAUGCAGAUAGUGCUUAUUUUGCACCUAUUAAUUUACAUUGUUCCAUAAAAGGCUAGCGCUAUUUCCACUACUUUAACUCCACUCUUCAAUAUAGAGAUAAACCUGUCAUCUAAAAGUUACUGAAAGAUGUUAUUUUUUUGUCCGAUGUGUAUUAUACUGUAAUUUAGAAGUGCUGCUCUUUGAAAACUAAUGAAAACAGCCAGAGGAUAAGAUGGGGAAAUCUGCAUUGGACUUAACUAUUUUCCUGCCAGAGCACAGAGGGCAUUUUGUAGAUGAGUAAUCAGCACUCACCAUGUUCUGUUACAGCCGUAGGUGGUGUUUUUAACAUGUGCUGUGCAGUGUCAAUGAAGGCCUGAAACAGCUCGCCUCUUCCCAAAAGCUGGAGAGCUCUAAACUUCAUCCAGUGGCCAGAAAGUCUACAGUGCAAUGCACUGCAAGCAAAACAAUAAAUCUCCAAGAUGCAAAGCACAAAACCACAUACAUUUACUCCUCUAACUCUGUCUCUGACCAAGUUCUAUCACUGUACUCAUGCUUAAGAUCUUGGGAAAUGAAAAUAGUUACCUAAAAGAAGAAAGUACAAAACAUAAGACAGUAAAGCAUUUACUGGGAAAGGGCUAUUAAAAAAAAAAGAAACAAAGCAAACAAAGAAAAAAAUCCCCCACCACCAACUUUAAGCUACUUUUACAUAAACAAGCUAGUGGUAGCGUUACCUUCAGUUGUCCUAGUAAGUCAGAUUCCUCCACCAUCAGUUUCCAAAGAUGCUAGUGAGAAGAUAGAAUAAACAAAUAAAACAAGAAAUCUCUUCUCAGAUACAGCUUAACUUAUUCAGUAAGAUCCAGUAACUGUUUUAAAAUACUUGUGAUACAUUUGAAAUACGCAUAUAUAAAAUGCUAUAUAAAAGCAAAAGAGGAGCACACUAAGAUGACUCCUUUGUGGGCAACCCAUGCUACUAACUAGAAUACUCUUGAUGCAUACCAGUAAGAAACAUGAAGACACAUCAAGAAAGACAAGCAAAUUCUUAUGAAUUCAUUCCAAUCCUACUUGUCCUCACUUUUCUAUGCUCCCCCUAUUCUCCAGUUUUGAUUUUUUUUCCCAACAAAACAAAAAAAACCCACACCAAACAUUUUUCUAAGUAAAAGGCUCACUGUUAUACUGAAAUCACAGCAAAGUUUUGAAGUUGUCACAAGUGAUGUAAUCAGUAUUUUAAAAUUCCCUGCAAAUGACUGGUACUAGUUGAAGUCUUUGUAUCAUUAGAAAUUGGAAUAACACAACACUACGCCUUAUAAGAACAUAAAAGCUACCUGCUUAUUUCACCUUCCUGUUUUAAUUGAUAGUAAACAGCCUCCCUUCUCCUGGUCAUUCACAAAACUCAAAUGCUCCUCAACCUGUAUAGUUACCCUACCUGCAACCCUUACCUCAGCAACUGUACUCCGUAUCCAGUCAACCACAGAUUCAAAGUCUACUAAACUAAAGAGUGGCUGCUGUUUGAGUCGAUGUAGUUCUGCUGCGAAAGUGUCCUCCUGGUUUUUUAGGAUGGAGCCUGUGCAACAAUGAGAAAAGUUCUGGACAAUAACAAAUACUAUUCAAGUAAGUGCAGACCCUUUCCCGCACAGUGGGGCAGAGAGGCUGCCCAGGAACCACAGUGUCGUGUCAGACAAGAGGAAUGUGAAUUUGUAGAGGCCCUGAAGUACCAAGUACAAGAUGGUACUGCAAAUACUAUUACACAUUAGACAGUUGAUACAGCAGUGCUGCAGUAUCAGACAAAAAAAAAGAAAAAAAAAAAAGCAUGUAAGCACAGAAGAAGUGGAGAGAAGAAAAGAAGGAAAAAAACCAUUUUCUGUGUUAACAAACAGUCCUUUUUCCUAGGACUCAGCUAGACAUUGAACCCUGAACUUUUCUGCUGUAUUAACCUGUUGGUUUGAUUCUCCACAUACUCUGUCCCUUUCAGUUGUAUUCCAUUGCUUGGACUCGGGAAUUUGUUAUUUUUGAAACCACUCCUCACUUCUACAAACAGAAGAAAGCAGUCCAAUUCAAUUAGUUCUUUGUUAUCUGCACUGGCAUUAGUCACUGGAGUAUUUUUACAUAGAUAAGUUCAAGAUCAAGAAUCCACAGUUCUCCUCUCUUUCUGCAGUGUAUUUCCAGAAAGCAUCUUCCAGUGUAAACCUAUCAGGCACUCAAAGAGAACAAUCAGCUGGAAUUGUCUUUGUUUCGCUUUUGUCUUUGAGACCCCCUCGUGACCAUCUGUCUUCCCCAGCCACAUUUGGGACUACAUUGCAAUCAAUCUCUCAUGCUUGUGCAUGCAUUCUAACUCUGUGAUGCCAUUCUGCUACACAUACACACACAUGCACUCAGAGGGACAGGGAUAUAAACUCAGAAGGCUUUAUUUCUCCAGAGUAAAGCAGAUAGUAGCUUAUGUUUGGAAAGUAUUUUUUACUCAUGCUGUACUUAUAUCCCUCCCUAGCACUCAAUUAGAAGCAGAGCACUUGGACCACACUCUGAUCUGGCACAGCCAUUUUUAUUUUCUGAAGCUGAACAUUUUAACAGUGACUGUUAAAAAAUUAAUUCAUACAGUAUUUUGGAAGACACUUGUCAGUCUUUCACAGCUGAGAGAAGGCCAUAAGAAAGAUGCUCCUUACCUUUUCUGGUCAGGUUAACAUUUUGAUUCUCAAACAUUUGUACAGACUCUCCCACAAACAAGAUUUUUUCAGCAACUCGCACAGGAAUGUACGAUGGCAGCAUCUCCACUCGCAGAGAAAACUGUUUUAGAGAUGGAGCCAACAUGUUCUCCUCCUCAAUCAAGCGCUGUCAGAGACACCAGGAACAAGACACAAAGCACAAGGAGAGAAAAAGGUUGAGAAAGCCAGGUUUAUAUAGAAAGGGUAAUAAAUAGAUAUCAAAGUACACUAAAAGUAACGGGUUUUCCAUGGCCUUUUAAAGCUUUUCCUUGUUUUUGCCUGUGUGCAAUCUGCUCUCAGCAAAGAUUGUUUAUAGAAGGCACUUAAUUUUAUGCAAUGUGACUAUGCAAUUGUGACUGCAGUGGAUUUUUUGUGCACUCACGGAGUUACAUGCAACAUGCUAAAACCACUGGUGCCCAGGAAACAUUUUCUCACAGUAAACUAGAGCAUGAAUUUAUGGAGUUGCAGUUGUUUCUCACUAGAGCCUGAUGCAGUAACUAUUCAAAUGCUGUAGUACUUCACUAAGAGUUGAAGAUCGCUGUUGGCUAAGGAAUCAGAAAAGAGCAGGAUGAGUACAGCACUUCAAAUUAUUUGUGUCUAUGCAUAUUCUGUUGAUAUGGCUUUCUGCCCCCAAGUUUGUCCACCUGAGCCCAAUAUGUAUCUCUUCUUAAUGCCCAGCUGCAGCCUGCAAUGAUACUCUGUUGAUCUGCCAUCCUAUCAGACAUGAUUGUUUCACAAUGGCUAGCUGAACUCCACCACACCACUCUCUCACUCUCCCUCUUUCCAAGGAAAAGGGGGAGAAAACACAGUGGGGAGAGAAAAAAAACACUCACAAGCUGAGAUAAGCAUGAUUUAAUCAAAGAGAGGAGGAAAAAAAAAAAAAGGAGAAAAAACAAGCAAAAGACAGAUGGAAGUACAGAGAGAAAAAUUAUUCUCUACUUCCAAUCAGCAAGCAAUGUUCAGCCAUGUCUUGCAAAACAGGGCCUCAACAAGUAUCGCAAUUGUUCAGGACAUAGAUUUUCAUUAUAAAAGCCCCUCCUCCUUGCCCAGAUUUUAUUGCCAAAUGUACUUUAUGGAAUAUGCCUUUGGUAGGUUUAGGUCAGCUGCUCUUGCAAUGUCUCCUCCCCACCUCUUGCCUACUCCCAGCCUACUGGCUUUGGAGCGGCUGGAGAGUGUCUUGAUACUAAGCCAACACUGCUCAGUAAUACACAAAAUAGUAGUGUGAUAUUAAUGUUAAAAGUGCAAAGCACAGCCCUUUAUGGGCUGCUGUGGGGGAUUUAACUCCACCCCAGCCAGAUCCAGUACAUCAGGUCUCAAGAAUGAGUGGUCAUUUAAAUCGUCUGCACUGAAGCAGAAGCUAGCAUUGCCUCUUCAGGUACCUGAUGACCAAGCUGGUGCCAAGCUACAACUUGCAGUCUUACCAGGUCCUGCAGCUCUCGUAGCUGUUUUCCUGUAAGUCCUCCAAUUCCUAGGUCAUCAUCAUCAUCAUCGGGUUGGCCACAGACAUUCCCAGAAGGGCCCUGUUUGAUAAAGAACUCUUCGUGUUGGUCUAGUAGCAAUCCAUGCAGCAUCCAGGCAGAGAGCUGCUUAUACAUGACUCCAUGACACACAGCCAGAAUCCUGAAAUCAAAAGAAACAGAUAGUGGGUCCAGUGCACACAGUAAUCAAAACCUCAUUGUACAUUAUUCUGGAAAGUCCAGUUCAUCAGCUGGGCAAUGUGGUACUUACUUUUUUCCCCAAGGGCACACAGACAUAACAACAUUCACCCAGUGAAAUGUAUUUUUCUAAACGAUGAAUAAAAACAAUUAACAUGUCUGCUGUAUCCAAGACAUUUCAUGUAGACUUCAGCCCUAAACGAUGCCUCAGUAAGAUCCUCAAAAGUACAAAAUAUGGAGAAAGCCUUAAUUCCUGCCAUGAAUCUGUUUUAGAUAAAUAAAGGAGACUGUGACAGUUUGCCCUUUUAAAUCAUGCAGGCCCAAUUUGAGCAGCAUCGUCUGCUUUCACAAGUAAGAAAACACUUUGAUACUAAUGUCAGGUAUGACGUACAAAUGAAAUGGUUUUGUUGCAUCUACCUACUUUUCAAGAGCACUGCGAACGGGAGGCAACCCUCCACAGCUAUGUUUGUGGACAGUUUCCAGUACCUGACAUCCAUGAAUCUACAGAAAGAAAAAGUGGUUAGACUAGGACUAUUACUUGGAUCUGUACCGACAUUUUCAGGCAUUUAAACACUGCAUUUCCAACUAACAAGAACCACACAAGUCUGACAGAAAGAGAGAUUAAACAUACUCUGUAGGGAAGAAAGAAGUCUUCUAUGUAAGCUUCUCUCAGAAGCUUCCCCUAGAUGAAAACUAAUCCUCUGAGGACUUCGAAAACAUUAGCUACUCCUUUUCCUUUUUUAAUUCAAGUGAGCAUGGAAGAAAACAAAAUCAGAAAAGAAAUUCCAACUAGCAGCAUCUUGUAGUUUGAAGUGUAUUGUUAUUAUAAAAUGCAUCUUGCUAAUAAUAAGUCAAAUCCAGUGUAAAGAGAUUUGUAAAGCAUUCAAUACUUACAUUAAGUGAAACCAGAUUCUUUCCUAGCAUUCAGUUCUGGGAUGAAGGCAGGAAAUAUUUAAUCAGCUAAAGAGGAAACUUGCUAAGAGAGACUAGCUAGAAAUUUACCAUACCUUUUGAGUCUUGAUCUGUUCCACCACAACCAUCACAGAUGGGAAGAGUAACUGAAACUGCAGCGCAAGGGGGUCAAAAGUUACACUUAGGUAAGUGUGGACAACAGGUGAUUACAGUAGUUUAAGCAAACCGUUAGCAUGCUUUCCAUUCAAAUUGGAAACUACUGUCAGUGGCCUGAAAAUC